rnacentral:tRNA from 1 species
GCCGCCCAGCCAGUAUGGUAGAUAUGGCACUCAGCUUGUAACCGAGUGGGUUCGGGUUCGAAUCCCGAGUAAGGCA